rnacentral:lncRNA from 1 species
CUGGGCCAGACUAGCCUAACCCACAUCGUCGACAAGACUCAUUUUAAAUAGUUUUAGACAGUCUGUUAAAGUGAACUUUAUCGACAAGUCAGUCAAACUCGUGCAUAAGGGGCAACCCAUAUCAUUUCGACCUGGGUUUGACCCUCAACCUCUCGGAUUGGGCCGACGAUUAAUUAUAUGAUUGUUCUCACUGUGAAAGACUUUUCUUGUGGCACCUCAACACCGCGGGUAACUGAAUCUGUAUCUGACACCCACGUUUCCGAGUUAUCAAAAUGGCCGUACCGAUGUGGUUGAACUCGGAUUACAUAAAAGCCGUCUUACGGAAAGUCGAGAAAAAUGAUUCCAUUGAAGUGUCAGAUAUGACCGUAAAGCCAGCCACGGCCAACGGUGACAAUUACAUGAGUGAUAUGCAUCGCAUCGGCGCGGCGUCAAAUUCUUGCGGGUUCUUGACGGACGGCAAGUGACGGAGACAAGGUCUUUCAUAGCGAAGAUCGCCAUUGCAGAAGGUAUUCAAGCAAAAAUGGUAAUGUCAAAAAUUAAUCUCCAGUUAUGUAAUAACUGUCUGAAUCAAC